GAGUUUGAUCGUGGCUCAGAUUGAACGCUGGCGGCAUGCUUUACACAUGCAAGUCGAACGGCAGCACGGGGUUUACCCUGGUGGCGAGUGGCGAACGGGUGAGGAAUACAUCGGAACGUGUCUAUAAGUGGGGGAUAACGCAUCGAAAGGUGUGCUAAUACCGCAUAAUCUCUCAGGAGAAAAGCAGGGGAUCGCAAGACCUUGCGCUUUAGGAGCGGCCGAUGCCUGAUUAGCUUGUUGGUAAGGUAAAGCUUACCAAGGCUUCGAUCAGUAGCUGGUCUGAGAGGACGACCAGCCACACUGGGACUGAGACACGGCCCAGACUCCUACGGGAGGCAGCAGUGGGGAAUUUUGGACAAUGGGGGAAACCCUGAUCCAGCCAUGCCGCGUGAGUGAAGAAGGCCUUCGGGUUGUAAAGCUCUUUCUAGCCGGAACGAAACGGUUACGAUUAAUACUCGUAAUUAAU
rnacentral:rRNA from 1 species